rnacentral:rRNA from 1 species
AAUGGGCGCAAGCCUGAUCCAGCCAUGCCGCGUGUGUGAUGAAGGCCCUAGGGUUGUAAAACACUUUCAGUGGGGAAGAUAAUGACGGUACCCACAGAAGAAACUCCGGCUAACUCCGUGCCAGCAGCCGCGGUAAUACGGAGGGAGCUAGCGUUGUUCGGAAUUACUGGGCGUAAAGCGCACGUAGGCGGAUUUGUUAGUCAGAGGUGAAAUCCCGGGGCUCAACCUCGGAACUGCCUUUGAUACUACAAGUCUAGAGACCGAGAGAGGUGAGUGGAAUUUCCAGUAUAGAGGUGAAAUUCGUAGAUAUUGGAAAGAACACCAGUGGCGAAGGCGGCUCACUGGCUCGGUACUGACGCUGAGGUGCGAAAGCGUGGGGAGCAAACAGGAUU